GUCAGUUAAACAUGUCUUCUCAAUAUUGCAUCAUUUCGAAGGUUGUUUCAUAAGCGUAGAAAGCCCGGGUUUGUGUUACCGUUUGGUCGGUUGGGGGUCAUGAAUGGUGUCAACCGCGCCAACAUUGAAAGUUUCUGUGAAAGCGGACUCGAUUUGACGUCGAUAAGGCGAUUCGACCGCUGCGUGUGUCCAGAAGUUACCGCUGCGACACCCGGAGAUAAACACACACCGACCGCCCAAAAGAAGCGUGGACGCGGAAGGAACAGAGCAAAUCAAAGGACGCGUUACAAGUCGACGGUAACGUUAGAAGUAUUUCUCAGCAAAGUAAGUUUUUAAAGUCUAGGAGAGUCAUUUUGACAUCAUAGUAUCUAACUAACGUUACAGGAUUUGUGUGUUUCGUAGCAAAGUGUAGGCGG
ensembl:lncRNA